rnacentral:rRNA from 2 species
UUUGCUGACGAGUGGCGGACGGGUGAGUAAUGUCUGGGAAACUGCCUGAUGGAGGGGGAUAACUACUGGAAACGGUGGCUAAUACCGCAUAACGUCGCAAGACCAAAGAGGGGGACCUUCGGGCCUCUUGCCAUCAGAUGUGCCCAGAUGGGAUUAGCUUGUUGGUGAGGUAACGGCUCACCAAGGCGACGAUCCCUAGCUGGUCUGAGAGGAUGACCAGCCACACUGGAACUGAGACACGGUCCAGACUCCUACGGGAGGCAGCAGUGGGGAAUAUUGCACAAUGGGCGCAAGCCUGAUGCAGCCAUGCCGCGUGUAUGAAGAAGGCCUUCGGGUUGUAAAGUACUUUCAGCGGGGAGG